AGAAGGUUAUCCACCACACUGGCAGGUAGAUGUUAUAAUAGUCAUAAUAGUCAUGGAAUUGUUCACUAUGCUGAGUCUCUACUGCAUGUUGGUUUCAUAAUAUGGCCGCGCUGCUCUACCACUUCUCUCCUGUCGGUGUCAGAGUUGGGCAUAUGUAAACUAUAGUACCUUACGAACCAAAACUAACCCCCUAAACCAAAGAGCUGAUGGUGGAUUUCCGCAGGCGCAGACUCCUUCCCCCAACACCGGUGAACAUCCAGGGAAAGGACAUUGAGAUGGUGACAUCUUAUAAGUAUCUGGGUGUUCAUCUUAACAAUAAACUGGACUGGACUAAUCACAUACCAGCACUAUACAGGAAAGGCCAAAGCAGACUCUACCUGCUGAGGCGGCUCAGGUCUUUUGGAGUGCAGGGGGCGCUCGUGAAGACCUUCUUUUUUUUUUUUUUUUUUAAGAUAUUUUUUGGGGCAUUUUUUGCCUUUAGUGGACAGGACAGUUAAGUGUGAAAGGGGGAGAGAGAGAGGGGAUGACAUGCAGCAAAGGGCCACAGGCUGGACUCGAACCCGGGCCGCUGCGGCAACAGCCUUGUACAUGGAGCGCCUGCUCUACCACUAAGCCACCGACACCCCUCGUGAAGACCUUCUUUGACACUGUGGUGGCAUCAGCCAUCUUUUACAGAGUGGUCUGCUAGGGCAGCAGCGUCUCGACUGCAGAUAGGAAGAGACUGGACAAGCUGAUGAAGAAGGCCAGCUCUGUCCUGGGAUGCUCUCUGGACUCUGCGGAGCAGAGCAAAGCACGGGUCAAUUUUGGCAAACCUGCACCUGCCUGUGCCCGUAAAGCUCAGUACCAGAGCCAACCCAUUACCCAUCUUUAUGUCUGAUGUUGUGUUCACACCAAAUGUGAUGCAUAUUUUUCGCAUCCCAUUACUCAUGUGAGUCUGAACACCAAAAUACUUUGUGUUGACUCGCAAGAAUAACUCAUCAUAUGCGCAUAAAAUCAAUGAUCAAUGAAUGAACUUCCUGUGGUAUGUCCUUGCUGUCAUACAAGGAUUGAGAGGAUCUCAUUGCUGAUUGGCUAUCACAGCAUGAAUUGGUCGCUGAAGUUUUCUCUCGCGAAAAAGCGUGUGACGUGAAAUCACGCUACUCUCUUCAUUCGCCCUGCUUAAUUCAUGUAUUUCACGUCAUUCCGCCUGAUGUGAAUUCACAUCUCAUUGCAUCUUUACAUUGACUUUACAUGUAAUUCACUCCCGUGAAUUGUUUUGUUUGCACUGGGUGUGAACACAACAUAAGUCAUAGCCACACCUGUUAAUAAAAGUCCCAUGACCCGAAUGGCACCACAGCAGGGGUGGACUGGCCAUCUGGCAUACUGGGCAUCAUCCCGGUGGGCCGUUGACCCAAUUUAUUAAUUAAUUAUAAUAAUUAAUUAUUAUUUUGACAUGGCCUAUCAGACGGUCUAUCUUGGCCGGUGCAAGUUUCUUUUUUUUCUAAACUCCCUCCAAUUGGGCCGGCCAGCCACUCAUCAUUGGCUACAGAGGGCUAGCACUGCAGUGUUUUGCCAGCGGCCAUCGACACAUGUUAUUGGUCUAUUGUUUAUCAUUGUCAAUCAAUCAUGGGCUGACAGGCUCAGAGAGCCCUGACAGUGCUGUCAAUCACUACACGAGCCAGGGUGGGGCGGGACCUCAUAGGCUGUUCGCUAACUUAUCUUGCUACACUACUAGCCCAAUACUAAAAAGACGACGAAAAUGGACAGGAAGAAAAAACGCCUGGGUGGUGCUGAGAAACAGAGGACUAAAAAGCUAAACUCUCUCGAGGUGGAGGCUGCUAAGUGUGCAAAAUUGACAGACUUAUUUGGCGCCGUUGUCACCACCCCAGCAGCAGCAGGUGCUGCGCCAGGAGACGAGCGAGGUGGGCCGGGUCAGACUCAGCAAUGGGAGCCGGUGGUGAUCUUGUCCGUGACCGAUGAUGAGUGAGUGGAGGCAGACAUGGUUGUCCACUGGACAUAGAGAAGUUGACCCCCCUCCGUCCAUGUUCGAGGACUUGCUCUCUCUCUGCCUCCACUGUCUGCCUUCACUGCACCAAAGUUUGGCUGUUGAGUCUCCUCUGAUAUGGUUGACCAUGCACCUGACAUAUGAGAGCCUGAGAAGUGGACCUCCCUCCCUCCGUCACUUUUUGAGGACUUGCUCUCUCUGUCUGUAUUUCAGUAUUGGAAAUGGGGUCGUGAACUAGGGAAGAUAGUAUCAGCAGUGUCACUACCUGGAGCUUGCGUGAACGGAGCACAGGUUUAAGGUGGCAUGCUGUUUUGGCUGCAUAGACUUCCUCUCUAACUCUCUGCCCAGAUUUGUGGACUUCUACGUGGUGUCCGCUGAUAAUGUAGUGGGCUGGUCUGGACAGAAAAUACCAGGGCUGAUUUUUUGUCCCAGUCCACCCCUGCACCACAGGCUAUAGUCACUCACAUCGCAAUUAAAUGCUGCGAAGACCGAGGUCCUAGUCAUUGCCUCUGACAGUGUCACUGCCAGGGUACAAGAACAUCUGGGGCCCCUCAAGAACAACGUCCACGCAAAUAUAAAGAAUCUUGGUGUUCAAUUCGACCAGUCAAUGCACCUAGAGAAACAUGUGAAGUCUCUGUGUCGCAAUUGUUUUUACCAUCUGAGAAACAUUGCUAAACUCCGCUCCAUUGUGUCUUACUCAGAACUAGAAAUGUCAAUCCAUGCCUUUAUAUCAUCCAGGCUCGACUACUGCAAUUCACUGUUCACAUGUCUCAAUCAGUCAUCCAUCGACCGCCUUCAACUUGUACAGAAUGCAGCUGCCAGAUUACUUACUAGGUCAAAAAAGUCUUGCCAUAUUACACCCAUACUCGCCUCCUUGCACUGGCUACCCAUCCCGUUCAGAAUCCAGUACAAGGUGCUGCUGCUCACUUUCAAAGCCAUUCACGGCCAAGCCCCCAGUUACAUCUGCGACCUCAUUCACCACCACACCCCCAGCCGGUCCUUGAGAUCAUCUGACCUAGGCCUCCUGUCAGUGCCUCGGACCCGGCUAAAGACAAAGGGGGACCGGUCCUUUGGGGCAGUGGCCCCUAGGCUUUGGAAUGCACUCCCCCUGGGUCUGAGAUCUGCCCUGUCAGUAAAUAGUUUCAAGGGUCAGUUAAAGACUCACCUGUACAGACUAGCUUUUGAGUGUUAGGCCGUAUCCAUUGUUUUAUUUGCCGCUUUCUGUUGUCUCUCAGCUUGUCUACCUCAUUUCCUCUGGCUUUGCAGUGCCAUGUGAUCAUGUUCUAUUGUUAUUUUUAUCUGUUUAUGUAUUUUAUGCUUCUACAUGCACUGACCUUGCAUUGCCAUAUGCCUGUGUGUAUGUUUUUUCUAGAAUUUUCAGUUGCACGUUUAUUGUGACCUACUGAACUGUGGUCUUAUUGUUUGCAUUGUUAAGCACUCUGUGUACGCGUACUAUGAAGGGUGCUAUAUAAAUAAAAGUUUACUUACUUACUUACUUACUUACUCACAUUAAGCUGGGUUCUCCGUUCUCAGUCUCUUUCACUGGCUGCACUCGAUGUUGGGAUGGCAAAAACAUUCUGCACAAUCACUGCCAGGUUAGGAAACAUUUUAGCAUGCUCCUUCCACCACCAUAAAACGAUAAAAUGAUCGUGUCUUAAACUUAAACUCGAUGUAGGGUGUCACCUUUUCCUCGGUUCAUGGCUGUAG